CCAGAAUACGCCUUCCUUCGUCUCGCAAAUAUUGACUCACUCACAUUUCACAUGCCGGAACAGACGUGGAACCGGAUCUGGCUGCUUCAGCCCAGCAACGCGAGUCGAAAAGCGCACAACACGAUGGCAACUAAAUGACAAAAUUAUUCACCGUAACCGAAAGCCGUGUCACCGUGGCUGCACCGACCACCGAUUCCGAAACCUUAAAGCUGCAGUUCUCGGUACGUUCUUCGGCACGUAAGAACCUUUGUGAGGCCACUUUUCCCCCCACCGGAAGCGACACCCGGGAGCAGAUUAUUCAAAGAAAAGCACACCCGCACCCGUCGUACAGAGCGGAAACACUCCCUUAGCACACCGGCAUCCGGCGGCAGUUCGGCGGGAGGGAGCGAACGCUGCUGUUGCAACUGCUGUGCCAAACGCAAAACGCCAGUUGACAGUAAAUGCAAUGUGCCAAACAUCAUCGUGGCAGCAGCAGGAAACAGGAUUCCGGGACAGCGCAGAACGCUGGAGCGCUAGGCUAUAGCUGAAGCUUCUACGGCAGUGCACUAUUGACUAGCUUUUCUUUCAUGUCAAGACAUUUAUGAUGAUAUCGGAAAUUCUCUUCACUUCAAAGAAACAUGAACUUACCGGAUUCGAAUAAAAAGGGAAAAAAUAA